GACGAACGCUGGCGGCGUGCUUAACACAUGCAAGUCGAACGGGCCCGCUCUCUUUUUUGGGGGUGGGUUGAGUGGCGAACGGGUGAGUAUCACGUGAGUAACCUGCCCCCUGCUCCUGGAUAACUGCUUGAAAGGGCGGCUAAUACGGGGUGUGCCGGCUGGUCCGCAUGGGCCUGGUCGGGAUAGUUUCAUCUUCGGGUGUUUCGGUGGGGGAUGGGCUCGCGGCCUAUCAGCUUGUUGGUGGGGUGAUGGCCCACCAAGGCGGUGACGGGUAGCCGGCCUGAGAGGGUGGGCGGCCACACUGGGACUGAGACACGGCCCAGACUCCUGCAGGAGGCAGCAGUGGGGGGUAUUGCACAAUGGGCGGAAGCCUGAUGCAGCGACGUCGCGUGAGGGAUGGAGGCCUUCGGGUUGUGAACCUCUUUCUCCGGUGGUGAAGGCCCUGUCCGUUGCGGCGGGGUUGACGGUAGCCGGGUAUGAAGCGCCGGCUAACUACGUG
rnacentral:rRNA from 1 species